AUUGAACGCUGGCGGAAUGCUUUACACAUGCAAGUCGAACGGUAGAGGGGGCAACCCCUCGAGAGUGGCGAACGGGUGAGUAAUAUAUCGGAACGUGCCCAGUCGUGGGGGAUAACGUAGCGAAAGUUACGCUAAUACCGCAUACGAUCUAAGGAUGAAAGCGGGGGAUCGCAAGACCGCGCGCGAUUGGAGAGGCCGAUAUCAGAUUAGGUAGUUGGUGGGGUAAAGGCUCACCAAGCCAACGAUCUGUAGCUGGUCUGAGAGGACGACCAGCCACACUGGAACUGAGACACGGUCCAGACUCCUACGGGAGGCAGCAGUGGGGAAUUUUGGACAAUGGACGCAAGUCUGAUCCAGCCAUUCCGCGUGCAGGAUGAAGGCCCUCGGGUUGUAAACUGCUUUUGUACGGAACGAAAAGGUCUCUCUUAAUACGGGGGACUCAUGACGGUACCGUAAGAAUAAGCACCGGCUAACUACGUGCCAGCCGCCGCGGUAA
rnacentral:rRNA from 1 species